GGCCGUUUCCCUGCUUGCACCCGAACGGGUGGGCUAUGACCCUUGAGGUAGGGGAGACAAUCAUUCCGAAGAGGC
rnacentral:ncRNA from 1 species